AUAAUCCUGCCCUCCUAGAGGGGGAAGAUGGGGUGGAAUUGAAACUUUCCAACUCUCCUGGCAACCAGUUUCCCUCCUCAGGUGGCCUAGGAGUUUUCCAAAAGUCACCUUUUUUUCUGCCUUUGUUUUCUUAUAUUUAUUUAUUUUUGGUGGUGCCACACAGCGUGUGGGAUCUUAGUUCCCUGACUGAGGACUGAACCCUCACCUGCAUUGGAGCCACUGAACUACCAGGGAAGUCCCUAGAAGUCACCUUUUAAAAAACAUAACAAAAGACACCUGCAUGGCUUUCGUGACUAAGGAAAUUCAUCACUUAGGGUUUUAAGGAGCUCUGUGCCAGAAACUGGGAUGAAGCUCAAACACGUAUUUCUUAAUAUAAAGCACACUAUCACACUCUCCUAGCUGAACCACUGCAAGAAAGCCUUUGUUUUUUUUUUUUCUUUUUUUAAGCUUGAAGAAUAUUUGUUUAUUUUGCCUAUGCUGGGUCUUAGUUGCUACAGGCCGGCUUUCUCUAGUGGCGGUGAGCGGGGGCUGCUCAUUGUGGUGGCUUCUCAUGUGGACCACGGACUCUAGGGCUCUCCAGGCAAGUCUUUUCUCUUGACAGUUGUCCCUCUUCUUCACUUACUCUGAUCUUGUUGGAGCUCUGAAAUCUGCCCAAUUCAAGUCACUUGCCAGGAGUUCAAACCCUCCCCAUGCCUCCAAGAGAGUGUUCAGGCAAUGUCAGGUGGUUUUUGCUUCAUUUCCCUGGGUCACCAAACUUUCUGACACCGAUGACCAUUUUACUCUAUCCCACUAGUCGAAGCAAUUAACCAAAGGAAAUCAUCAUAGAUUAUAAAAACAUGUACAGAAAUGUUUCUUGAAGCAUUAUGUAAAAUAUCAAGCACAUUGCAAGAAUCCCUAUAGUAUUCGGUUGAGUAAAUGACGGUUUACCCAUAGAGUGUAAUCUCAGAGAGUUAUUAACAUAAUGUUGUAGCAAGAUAGUUAAUGAUACAAAGCAUAAUCAGAAUAUGGCAGGAGGAAUACAUGAGAUAAUGGGAGUAUUUAUUUUGUGGUUUUGAGAAGUCCAAAAUUUGGGGCUCCUUCUCUCUUAAAAUGGUUCUAGCUGAGUAUAAGCUAAAAUCGUAACUUGCCUGUCAUGAGUAGGCUAGAACAGAAGUGGCAGUAUAUGCCCCCAAGGACUAGUCAUAAAAAGCAUCAUGGCUUUUUCCUUCUUCUCUCUCAGAUCACUCUCUCCAGGGAGGCCAGCUGCCCUGACAUGAGGAUAUUCAAGCAAUCCUUUGGACAAGUGCUGGCAGCAAAUGACCAAGUCCUCCUGCCAGGAGCCAGCAAGCAAUGGAGGCUUCUUCAGUAGGCCUGUGAUGAACCAUCUGGGCAUAGAGCCUCCAGCCCCAGUCAGUCAGCUGACUACAGUCCAGUGACCACUUGACCACAACCCAUGAGACACUGAGCCAGAACCAUCCAGUUAAGCCAUUCCCAAUUCCCAAUCCACAAAAGCAAUCAGAUUAUGAAUGCUUGUAUUUUUAAGCUUCAACAUUCUCAGGAGAUGUCUAGGCAGCAAUAGCUAACUAUUACAGUGACCCUGAAGCAAUGAGGACCAUCAGGUCACCCAGUUUCACUCUUUCCCUCUCAUCUCUGUCCCUCCCUUCUGUCCAUUCAUCUGUGCCUAAAACAAUCCUUAGGCACUUCCCUAAAGGUGCAGCGGAUAAGCAUUCUGCCAUUGCAGGGGACACGGGUUUGAUCUAUGGUCUGGGAAGAUUCCACAUACCUCGCGGCAACUAAGCCUACACUCGCAAUUACUAAGCCUGUGCUCUGGAGCCCACAGGCAGCAACUGCCAAGCCAGUGUGCUGCAACUUCUGAAGCCCGUGUACCUAGAGCCUGUGCUCUGCAACAAGAGAAGCCACCGCUCAUGCAUCACAGUGAAGAGUGGCCGCUGCUCAUCACAGCUAGAGGACGCCCCUGCAAAGCAACCAAGACCCAGUGCAGCCAAGAAUAAAGAAAGGAAAUUUAAAAUUUUUUAAAUGUACUAAUGUGCUGAGAGUGCUAUAUCUAGAUGAUGGAAAAACAGUGAGGUUUCUAUAUAUAUGUAUCAUUUUCAUCUUCUGCACCAAAUAUGUCUAACAAAACAUAAUAUUAUUUUAAACUAUGCAAUGUUUGACCCUGUUUAUAAGAGAGGCCUUUUUAAUAUGAUAAAAUUUACUUAAGUGUAAUUAUUUCUCCCAACAAACCAAAUGCUUGUAAGCAGGCAUUACCUUGAACAGUGCUAAUUUUUUUAGACAUGUACCAAUCUUUUUUUUUUAUUUCGCUUAUUUAUUUUUGGCUGCACUGGAUCUUAUUGCUAUGCUCAGGCUUUUUCGAGACACAGUGCAGGGGUUUCUGAUUGAUGUGGAUUCUCUUGUUUUGGAGCAUGGGCUGCAGGGCAUGUGGGCUUCAGUAGUUGUGGCACACCAGCCUAGUUGCCCCAUGGCAUGUGGGAUAUCCCUGGACCAAGGAUGCAACCUGUGUCCCCUGCAUUGGCAGGUGGAUGGUUAAGCACAGGCCCAACAUUGAAGUCCUGAAAGAAAAUUUUUUUUUGAAAGGGGAAUUCCAGCCAGUUUCUACAUUUACAGUAGUCACAGUGAUUCAGCAGUAACAAUGAAUUUAUUCAAUGGUCCCAUACACUGAGCAUCCAAUGUACAUGACUUUAAUCCUCAUUUGUUGUUGUUCAGUCACUCAAUUGUGUCCGACUCUGUGACCCCAUGCCCCGCAGCAUGCCAGGCUUCCCUGUCCUUCACUAUCUCCCAGAGUCUGCUCAAACUCAGUUCCACUGAGUCGGUGAUGCCAACCAACCAUCUCAUCCUCUGUCAUUCCCUUCUCCUUCUGCCCUCAAUCUUUCCCAGCAUCAGGGUCUUUUCCAAUGAAUCAGUUCUUCCCAUCAGUUGGCCAAAAUCCUUGUUGUCCCGAGAAGACUCUCGUGAGUCUUCUCCAGCACCUCAAAUGAUCUAGAAAAAUAAUCAGUAUGAAAUUAUUGCCAUUUUAACCAUCUCCUGAACAUGCCUUGCUUUAAUUUAGAAAACUAAUUUCCAGAUUUCCUGCUUUUGCUUAGAAGAAGGUAAGAGUUCCAUAAGCAUCCAUCUUGAGGAGGCUGACUAAGAAAUGCAUCCUGGCCCAGGUCUCUAGCUUGGAACUGGGGUUUGUGCCGUAGGGUGAGAAGGUGGAGCUCUGCAGAGCCUUUGUGUAAUUGUGGCUUUAUAGGGUAGUCACGGGACUAGAGCAAGCUUGACUUUCGGCCAGAGCACCUCAUGUUAUUUUCAACUAUUAUAAAAGGAAAUGAAAGAGAAUAAGAUGUCGUGUUCUGGUGCUAUACUCUGUUUUUUAAAAGCAGGAUGGUUAUUCAGUGUUUUUGGGCACAGCAAAAUGGGUUUUUUUUUUUUAUUUUUAUUUUUUCCUCCUCCUAUUUAUAGCCAGCUCAAAUUCUUGAGAAAUUUACCCCUUUCGGAGGUAAGGGGCCGAAGUUGAGGUUAAUUGGUGUUAAAUCCAGGAGAAUUGGAGGAAGCCAGGAAGAUGGAAGAAGAAGUGGAUGGGGCUGCUAGUCAUUAAAAUCGGCACCCUUCUCCUGCAUCACACCCCUCUGAAGUGUAACCCGUGGCACUUUGUCUUCAGUGAGUCCCUCCCGCUAGCCCCGUGAGGCCGGGAGAGUGACAGCUUUGCCCACUGAGCACAGGACUGGUUGGCCCAGGUAACACAGGACACUGUGUUAAGAAAUUGGGCCUGCAGCCCAGCACACAGGGCACCAGACCCGUCCGUUCUGCGUGUUCUGGCAAAGGUGGCUGAGGAUCACAGUCCAACAAAUACAAAGCUGCUUCUGAUUCCACUCACUCCUGAGUGCAUUUUGUCUCAGAUUGCACAAUAAACAUUCUUUUCUUUAAAAAAUUGUUUUGCAUCGUCCCUUCUGAACUAUGUUAGUGAUAUCGUAUCUGACAUAGCAAUAGAGUUUGGUUUUUUGUUUUUAUUUUCACUCAAGCAGGGUUGUGUCUUCAAAGAAGACAGCAGAAUGACCUGAGAAGUGUCACUCUUUUGGAGGCCAACGCUAAGGUGAAGGAUAUUGCAAUAUCCAGGGAGAGGAUAACUCUAAAAGGAAGGGAAAGGUGGAAAUCCUGGGAAGUGGUUUGAAUCAGGAAGAUUCCAGACUCCCAUGAGAUCGUAGCAUGAUGGAGGACAGAGACAGCUGUCAAAGCCAGAGACCUUUUGCUGUGAUUCAGCAGGGAGAGCAUGAGGUGUGCCCAAGGGGACAGAAAAGACAAACCGGAGGAAGAGUAGUCAAGUGCUGAGACAAGAGUAAAACCCGAGUCUGAGGAGUCAAGAAAAACAGGGAAAGAUGACUCAGGACCCAGGAGAGGGAUGAGUGAAAAGUCACUCCAUGCUUUUGUGGAAAUCUGUUCCAAAAACUUGAGUUUUGUAUUUUCUGUUUGUCCAACGCAAACUCUGGGGAGAUGUCAAAAAACCUUUAAAAGUUUAUGUAUUUAAUGAAAUUCCAUAGAGGGAAUGUUUAACAUCCAGGCAGAGAGACUGUGUGCACCCUGCUUAUCUUUCCUACUGGGGACAAAUUUCCGGCCUUUAAUCCUAUUAUUUUCAAUUAAUAAAAUGGACAUGACAUUUUUCAGA